rnacentral:rRNA from 1 species
GCACAAGCGGUGGAGCAUGUGGUUUAAUUCGACGCAACGCGAAGAACCUUACCUGGGCUCGAAAUGUUAUGGACCGGAGUGGAAACAUUCCUUCCCCGCAAGGGGCCGUAAUAUAGGUGCUGCAUGGCUGUCGUCAGCUCGUGUCGUGAGAUGUUGGGUUAAGUCCCGCAACGAGCGCAACCCUUAUCUUCAGUUGCUACCAUUUAGUUGAGCACUCUGAMGAAACCGCCUCGGAUAACGGGGAGGAAGGUGGGGAUGACGUCAAGUCCUCAUGGCCUUUAUGUCCAGGGCUACACACGUGCUACAAUGGCGGUGACAGUGGGCAGCUACUUCGCGAGAAGCGGCUAAUCCCAAAAAACCGCCCCAGUUCAGAUUGUACUCUGCAACUCGAGUACAUGAAGGUGGAAUCGCUAGUAAUCGCAGAACAGCAGGCUGCGGUGAAUACGUUCCCGGGC